GACGAACGCUGGCGGCGUGCUUAACACAUGCAAGUCGAACGAAGAGCGAUGGAAGCUUGCUUCUAUCAAUCUUAGUGGCGAACGGGUGAGUAACGCGUAAUCAACCUGCCCUUCAGAGGGGGACAACAGUUGGAAACGACUGCUAAUACCGCAUACGAUCUAAUCUCGGCAUCGAGGAUAGAUGAAAGGUGGCCUCUACAUGUAAGCUAUCACUGAAGGAGGGGAUUGCGUCUGAUUAGCUAGUUGGAGGGGUAACGGCCCACCAAGGCGAUGAUCAGUAGCCGGUCUGAGAGGAUGAACGGCCACAUUGGGACUGAGACACGGCCCAGACUCCUACAGGAGGCAGCAGUGGGGAAUCUUCCGCAAUGGACGAAAGUCUGACGGAGCAACGCCGCGUGAGUGAUGACGGCCUUCGGGUUGUAAAGCUCUGUUAAUCGGGACGAAAGGCCUUCUUGCGAAUAGGGAGAAGGAUUGACGGUACCGGAAUAGAAAGCCACGGCUAACUACGUG
rnacentral:rRNA from 1 species